CCCACACAAUCCUAUAUAAACAGGUGGUGCACCCAUGUGCCACAAACACACACACGUUUACUGUUCUUGGCACUGCUUUAUACUCACGGGAUUCAAGUCACCAUGAAGCUGCUAUUUCUGGCCAUGAGUGUGCUGUUGGUUGUACUAGCACUGAUGGAAGUCACCUCGGCGUUCCCAAAUCCGCUACCAGAUGCUUUGGCCGACCCUGAAGCUGAAGCUAAUCCUGGUCCAUUCUUCUUCUUCAAAAACUAUCGUCCAUAUUAUUAUCGUCGCUUCUACUAUUACUACUAAUGACUUACCAUUAACACUUUAUCCAAAAGGAAAUAGAUACUGAGGAGCCAGUCUUAAUUCCAAAGAUAUUCUCAGAAAUUAAACACAAGAAAUGGACACACACACACACACACACACACACACACACACACACACACACAAAUCCAUGGGCAUUUAUAUGAAAAGUGCACUGUUUCUUUGCAUGUUUUCAACGCAGCAUGCGAAUAUAAAACAUUUCUUAUUUCUCUGAAAGUGUAGUCUUGUUUUAUUAACAUUACUUAUUAAUAAUUUGAAUGAUGUGAUGGAUUAUGUGCUUAAAAAUCUCACAAUAUGUAGCAUAUCAAUUUAUCCUUGAUGUCCAGUACGUAGAGAAUAAUGGGAACUGAUAUAACAAGAAUUACAGAUGAUAAAAAAAAAUAAAAUAAAAAUUUGAACGGAA